rnacentral:ncRNA from 1 species
AUGCUAGGGGAGCGAAAGCUGAGAUUGUAUCUUUACAGACCCUUAUUACCUGAUCCGGCUAAUACCGGCGUAGGGAAGCAGGAGA